rnacentral:rRNA from 1 species
AAUAGAUACCCUGGUAGUCCAUGCCGUAAACGUUGGGAACUAGAUGUGGGGACCAUUCCACGGUCUCCGUGUCGCAGCUAACGCAUUAAGUUCCCCGCCUGGGGAGUACGGCCGCAAGGCUAAAACUCAAAGGAAUUGACGGGGGCCCGCACAAGCGGCGGAGCAUGCGGAUUAAUUCGAUGCAACGCGAAGAACCUUACCAAGGCUUGACAUAUACCGGAAAGGUCUGGAAACAGUCCCCCCGCAAGGUCGGUAUACAGGUGGUGCAUGGUUGUCGUCAGCUCGUGUCGUGAGAUGUUGGGUUAAGUCCCGCAACGAGCGCAACCCUCGUCUUAUGUUGCCAGCGGUUCGGGCCGGGGACUCAUAAGAGACUGCCGGGGUCAACUCGGAGGAAGGUGGGGAUGAGGUCAAAUCAUCAUGCCCCUUAUGUCUUGGGCUUCACGCAUGCUACAAUGGCCGGUACAAAGGGCUGCAAUACCGCGAGGUGGAGCGAAUACCCAAAAAGCCGGUCUCAGUUCGGAUUGAGGUCUGCAACUCGACCCCA